rfam:Exiguobacterium sibiricum 255-15, complete genome.
CCAGUUCUUCGGGGUAGGGUGAAAAUCCCAACCGGCGGUGAUGCGAUUUUUAAAUCGACGAGCCCGCGACCCAUAGUGUACGCACUAUGGCUGACUUGGUGUGAUUCCAGGGCCGACGGUAAAGUCCGGAUGGGAGAAGAACGAA